AUUGAACGCUGGCGGCAGGCCUAACACAUGCAAGUCGAGCGGAUGAAGGGAGCUUUCUCCUGGAGUCAGCGGCGGACGGGGGAGUAAUGCCUAUGAAUCUGCCUGCUAGUGGGGGAUAACGUCCGGAAACGGGGGCUACUACCGCAUCAGUCCUGAGGGUGAAAGAUGGGGAUCUUCGGACCGCACGCUAUCAGCUAAUCCUAGGUGGGUUUAGCUAGUAGGUGGGGUAAGGGCCUACCAAGGCGACGAUCCGUAACUGGUCUGAGAGGAUGAGCAGUCACACUGGAACUGGAACACGGUCCAGACUCCUACGGGAGGCAGCAGUGGGGAAUAUUGGACAAUGGGCGAAAGCCUGAUCCAGCAAUGCCGCGUGUGUGAAGAAGGUCUUCGGAUUGUAAAGCACUUUAAGUUGGGAGGAAGGGCAGUAAGUUAAUAACUUGCUGUUUUGACGUUACCAACAGAAUAAGCACCGGCUAACUUCGUG
rnacentral:rRNA from 1 species